rnacentral:rRNA from 1 species
GACGAACGCGGGCGGCGUGCCUAAUACAUGCAAGUCGAACGCUUUUUCUUUCACCGGAGCUUGCUCCACCGAAAGAAAAGGAGUGGCGAACGGGUGAGUAACACGUGGGUAACCUGCCCAUCAGAAGGGGAUAACACUUGGAAACAGGUGCUAAUACCGUAUAACAAUAGAAACCGCAUGGUUUCUAUUUGAAAGGCGCUUUUGCGUCACUGAUGGAUGGACCCGCGGUGCAUUAGCUAGUUGGUGAGGUAACGGCUCACCAAGGCAACGAUGCAUAGCCGACCUGAGAGGGUGAUCGGCCACAUUGGGACUGAGACACGGCCCAAACUCCUACGGGAGGCAGCAGUAGGGAAUCUUCGGCAAUGGACGRAAGUCUGACCGAGCAACGCCGCGUGAGUGAAGAAGGUUUUCGGAUCGUAAAACUCUGUUGUUAGAGAAGAACAAGGAUGAGAGUAAAAUGUUCAUCCCUUGACGGUAUCUAACCAGAAAGCCACGGCUAACUACGUGCCAGCAGCCGCGGUAAUACGUAGGUGGCAAGCGUUGUCCGGAUUUAUUGGGCGUAAAGCGAGCGCAGGCGGUUUCUUAAGUCUGAUGUGAAAGCCCCCGGCUCAACCGGGGAGGGUCAUUGGAAACUGGGAAACUUGAGUGCAGAAGAGGAGAGUGGAAUUCCAUGUGUAGCGGUGAAAUGCGUAGAUAUAUGGAGGAACACCAGUGGCGAAGGCGGCUCUCUGGUCUGUAACUGACGCUGAGGCUCGAAAGCGUGGGGAGCAAACAGGAU